rnacentral:ncRNA from 1 species
ACUAGAUGUGGUAGUCAUGGUUCUCCUGAGUCUAGUGGGCUCAGGGGCUAAGAGGGAAGCCGGUGCCCCGAUGUCGGGAAUUCCGGCGCUGCCCCCGCAACUGUAAGCAGCGAGCUGCUGUCCGCAAAACGCCACUGGUUUCGAUGCACCGGGAAGGUUGGACAGCGACGACGACCUGCGAGCCAGGAGACCUGCCGUGAUGCAUGAACCAAC